GCCUGGGUGGCUCAGCUGGUUAAGCGUUUAACUUUUGUUUAGGUCAUGAUCUCGAGGUCUGUGGGUUCGAGCCCCACAUUGGGCU
rnacentral:tRNA from 1 species